UACGAAGGGGGCUAGCGUUGCUCGGAAUUACUGGGCGUAAAGGGCGCGUAGGCGGAUAUUUAAGUUGGGGGUGAAAUCCCGGGGCUCAACCUCGGAAUUGCCUUCAAAACUGGAUAUCUUGAGUUCGGGAGAGGUGAGUGGAACUCCGAGUGUAGAGGUGAAAUUCGUAGAUAUUCGGAAGAACACCAGUGGCGAAGGCGACUCACUGGACCGAUACUGACGCUGAGGCACGAAAGCGUGGGGAGCAAACAGG
rnacentral:rRNA from 1 species